AUUGAACGCUGGCGGCAGGCCUAACACAUGCAAGUCGAACGAGUGGCGGACGGGUGAGUAAUGUCUGGGAAACUGCCUGAUGGAGGGGGAUAACUACUGGAAACGGUAGCUAAUACCGCAUACCCUCAGAUGUGCCCAGAUGGGAUUAGCGAGUUGGUGGGGUAACGGCUCACCAAGGCGACGAUCCCUAGCUGGUCUGAGAGGAUGACCAGCCACACUGGAACGGAGACACGGUCCAGACUACUACGGGAGGCAGCAGUGGGGAAUAGUGCACAAUGGGCGCAAGCCGGAUGCAGCAAUGCCGCGUGUAUGAAGAAGGCCUUCGGGUUGUAAAGUACUGUCAGCGGGGAGGCGUUACACGCAGAAGAAGCAACGGCUAACUCCGUGCCAGCAGCCGCGGUAAUAC
rnacentral:rRNA from 1 species